AUAAGGCCUGCAUGGAUGGGGGGCAGUCAGCAACUAAGUGUAAUUUGCAGGUGAUCAUAGAACUCAUGGAGUGUUUACCACAAGAAAAGGCUGCUCCCUUGAGAUUGGAAACUUUCUGAGAGAAGGGAUAUGUCCCAAAUGUCUACCACCAGCACUCACUAAAAUCCUGAUGAAGGAUUAUUGUAAGGAUUUCCUUGGUCAUUUUUUUGACUUAAGAUUGUCCUCCAGUAGUUUUC
rnacentral:lncRNA from 1 species